AUGCUGGAGGUAUCAGAAGUGCGAAUGCUGACAUAAGUAACGAUAAAGCGGGUGAAAAGCCCGCUCGCCGGAAGACCAAGGGUUCCUGUCCAACGUUAAUCGGGGCAGGGUGAGUCGACCCCUAAGGCGAGGCCGAAAGGCGUAGUCGAUGGGAAACAGGUUAAUAUUCCUGUACUUGGUGUUACUGCGAAGGGGGGACGGAGAAGGCUAUGUUGGCCGGGCGACGGUUGUCCCGGUUUAAGCGUGUAGGCUGGUUUUCCAGGCAAAUCCGGAAAAUCAAGGCUGAGGCGUGAUGACGAGGCACUACGGUGCUGAAGCAACAAAUGCCCUGCUUCCAGGAAAAGCCUCUAAGCAUCAGGUAACAUCAAAUCGUACCCCAAACCGACACAGGUGGUCAGGUAGAGAAUACCAAGGCGCUUGAGAGAACUCGGGUGAAGGAACUAGGCAAAAUGGUGCCGUAACUUCGGGAGAAGGCACGCUGAUAUGUAGGUGAAGUCCCUCGCGGAUGGAGCUGAAAUCAGUCGAAGAUACCAGCUGGCUGCAACUGUUUAUUAAAAACACAGCACUGUGCAAACACGAAAGUGGACGUAUACGGUGUGACGCCUGCCCGGUGCCGGAAGGUUAAUUGAUGGGGUCAGCGCAAGCGAAGCUCUUGAUCGAAGCCCCGGUAAACGGCGGCCGUAACUAUAACGGUCCUAAGGUAGCGAAAUUCCUUGUCGGGUAAGUUCCGACCUGCACGAAUGGCGUAAUGAUGGCCAGGCUGUCUCCACCCGAGACUCAGUGAAAUUGAACUCGCUGUGAAGAUGCAGUGUACCCGCGGCAAGACGGAAAGACCCCGUGAACCUUUACUAUAGCUUGACACUGAACAUUGAGCCUUGAUGUGUAGGAUAGGUGGGAGGCUUUGAAGUGUGGACGCCAGUCUGCAUGGAGCCGACCUUGAAAUACCACCCUUUAAUGUUUGAUGUUCUAACGUGGACCCGUAAUCCGGGUUGCGGACAGUGUCUGGUGGGUAGUUUGACUGGGGCGGUCUCCUCCUAAAGAGUAACGGAGGAGCACGAAGGUUGGCUAAUCCUGGUCGGACAUCAGGAGGUUAGUGCAAUGGCAUAAGCCAGCUUGACUGCGAGCGUGACGGCGCGAGCAGGUGCGAAAGCAGGUCAUAGUGAUCCGGUGGUUCUGAAUGGAAGGGCCAUCGCUCAACGGAUAAAAGGUACUCCGGGGAUAACAGGCUGAUACCGCCCAAGAGUUCAUAUCGACGGCGGUGUUUGGCACCUCGAUGUCGGCUCAUCACAUCCUGGGGCUGAAGUAGGUCCCAAGGGUAUGGCUGUUCGCCAUUUAAAGUGGUACGCGAGCUGGGUUUAGAACGUCGUGAGACAGUUCGGUCCCUAUCUGCCGUGGGCGCUGGAGAA
rnacentral:rRNA from 1 species